AAGUUUUUUUAGUUUAAUCGUUUCCAUAAAGUACACAUCAAAUCGUAAUUAUGUAGAACAACAAAAUUAUAGUUAAAUAUGACAUACUCUCUCUCUCUCUCUAAAAUUCUACAGAGCAUCAUUUCAUUAUUAUUAUUCAAACAAUAAAGACGUAUGGAGUUAAAAUAGUGAAAACUGUGUUUGAAAGCAACAAAGAACUAAUUGUUUUAAAUUUUAACGAAGCAAAAACAAUUCACAAAAUUGCAUCAAAUGUGGCAGUUGAUUUAUUGAACAACAACUUUAUAAUAAAUCCGGAUUUUUUCUUAUUAAUUUUGUAAUAAUUCAUAAAUAGCGUGGAUUUUGUUGUAGAAAUAAAACUGGCUGCUACAGGUUCCACUUCAAGUUCCCAAUCACCGCCAAAUUUUUCUUUGGACAACAUAUUUCUUAUAGAGGCUGCAAAACAUAUAUCGUAUCAGCCAGAAACUCCACCUGACGUCACAUACCAGAUUUUCCACUUGAUGCAAAGAACAUCCAACAACAAUCAACAUUAAAUUCAUAUGAAAUAGUUAAUGAAGAAAAUGCAUUUUUAAAGAACCAACAAGAGUUGACUGAUCUUCCUUCAACACAAGAAAUUAGACAACUAAAUGAAAUUAAGGAGGCACUGCAUAAUGAUAUUUUGGAAAAUAAACAUCUCACCAAUAUCGCCAAGUCAAUAAUAUCAUUAAUAUUAAAUCGUGAUCCCAACAGAGAGAUAGCACAGUGGGGCAGAAUCAAAAUUUGUUGGAAAUAAAUCUGGCAUUUCUAAACGGCUGAUCCGAUCGGGAUAAAAUUUGGCGUAAGCCUAGCCAAGGAGUAUCCGAGUUUAAGUUUUGAAGAUGAACCCUGCAGAUGUCCCAGGGACGGCGUUGUUGCGGCUCAAAGUAGGGUACCUACGACAUGUAAAAUUUUUAAACUCGGGCUUUUUUUUUUUUGUGUUUCACCCAAAUACAUUUAAAAAUUUAGUGGUACAAAAUUUACCACACCUUGAUCCGCUUUUUUUGAAUACCGGGCAUAAUUUUCGAAUCAAUUGUUAGUUAGACAACAAAAUUUCCAAUAAUAUACAAAAAAUUUCAGACCAAUAUCA